AGAGUGCACUGCAGCAGAGUGUGUCUUCCCAUCCAGACCUGUCUCUUGCUUCAACAGUGUUCGGAGGGAACAGACCCAGGACGCCCCUUCUUCCAGCUCCGGCCUCUCUCCUGCGUCUCAUCCAGUCACCACCUCCAGGACCACCUCCGGACCAGCCAACACACCGGUUUUUUGUUUUAUUUUUCUAAUUUA